rnacentral:rRNA from 1 species
GGAGGAUCCAAGCGUUAUCCGGAUUCAUUGGGUUUAAAGGGUGCGUAGGCGGACUGAUAAGUCAGCGGUGAAAUCCCACGGCUCAACUGUGGAACUGCCGUUGAUACUGUUAGUCUUGAAUGCAGAUGAUGUGGGCGGAAUAUGACAUGUAGUGGUGAAAUACUUAGAUAUGUCAUAGAACACCGAUUGCGAAGGCAGCUCACAAAACUGUGAUUGACGCUGAUGCACGAAAGCGUGGGGAUCAAACAGGAUUAGAUACCCUGGUAGUCCACGCCCUAAACGAUGAUUACUCGAUGUUGGCGAUACACCGUCCAGCGUCCAAGCGAAAGCGUUAAGUAAUCCACCUGGGGAGUACGGCCGCAAGGCUG